UUCGCAAUGCCCGAAAGGGUGACGAAGCGACGCCGCGUGCGGGAAGAAGGCCUUCGGGUUGUAAACCGCUGUCGGGAGUUAAGAAAUGCAGAGAUGUUAAUAGCGUCUUUGCUUGACUAAGGCUCCGGAGGAAGCCACGGCUAACUCUGUGCCAGCAGCCGCGGUAAUACAGAGGUGGCAAGCGUUGUUCGGUAUUAUUGGGCGUAAAGAGCACGUAGGUGGUUUUGUAAGUCAGAUGUGAAAGCCUUCUGUUCAACGGAAGAAUUGCAUCUGAAACUACAAACCUUGAGUGUAGGAGGGGAGAAUGGAACUUCUGGUGGAGCGGUGAAAUGCGUAGAUAUCAGAAGGAACGCCGGCGGCGAAAGCGAUUCUCUGGCCUAUUACUGACACUCAGUGUGCGAAAGCUAGGGGAGCAAACGGGAUUAGAUACCCCGGUAGUCCUAGCCGUAAACGAUGGGCACUAAGUAGAGGGGUUUU
rnacentral:rRNA from 1 species